AAGCCGCGGUAAUACAGAGACUGCAAGCGUUAUUCGGAUUCACUGGGCGUAAAGGGUGCGCAGGCGGCCAAGUGUGUCAGGUGUGAAAUCCCGGGGCUUAACUCCGGAACUGCGCCUGAAACUAUUUGGCUAGAGCAUUGGAGAGGGAAGUGGAAUUCACGGUGUAGCAGUGAAAUGCGUAGAUAUCGUGAGGAACACCAGAGGCGAAGGCGACUUCCUGGACAAUUGCUGACGCUCAGGCACGAAAGCGUGGGGAGCCAAA
rnacentral:rRNA from 1 species